UAGCUCAGUUGGUUAGAGCGUCGUACUAAUAAUGCGAAGGUCGUCGGUUCGAUCCCGGN
rnacentral:tRNA from 1 species